rnacentral:rRNA from 1 species
UACAGAGGUCUCAAGCGUUUGUUCGGAUUCAUUGGGCGUAAAGGGUGCGUAGGUGGCAGGGUAAGUCGGAUGUGAAAUCCCGGGGCUCAACCCCGGAACUGCAUUCGAUACUGCUUUGCUAGAGUACUGGAGAGGAGAUUGGAAUUUACGGUGUAGCAUGAAUGACGUAGAUAUCGUAAGGAAGACCGGUGGCGAAGGCGGAUCUCUGGACAGUUACUGACACUGAGGUACGAAGGCCAGGGGAGGCGAAACGGG